GCAUCUUCUUCUUUCAUAUGUUUCCUCCAUUUCUAGUAAACCCAGAUAAGUGGUUUCUCAAGGAAAGAGAAAUUGGGCCUAUCUUCUUACAGGCAGCCAUGAUGUCGUGAGCCCAAAAAGAAUCACUAUUUGUGGAGCCAUUCUAUUUUCUCCCGGAUUCCUUUAUUUCUGAUUUUCUUGUUGCCAUCUUUUCAACCUCUCUUUUAAUCCCUAAACAAUGGUGUGGUAAAUGGGACGGUGUGAUGUGCGAAAAUGGACUUACCGCCAUCUGAACGAAUUGUGGAGGAAGUGAUGAUUUCGAGGAAUAGUUCACUUCAUCUCUACUAUUAACCUCCUGGUUUACUUGUUUGUUUAUCAUAGAGAAAUAGAUUUGUUCUUCAACUGUUGGCUGAGAGUGCGAUCAAAACAUUCCUCAACCACUUUGGAAGCUCUCGAGGACCAAACACACCUAAAAGCUCUUUUGAACACAAACUUCAGUAAUAUCGAUCAAUGGCUCCCUCGUCUGGAGGUAAUUUCUUGUGGAUGAAAAUUAUUAAUGUCAUGAGCAAAGUUGGAAAGAUGGGGGUAUUGAAAAGAGAGGAAUGUGAAGAAACCAUGUGAUUUGAUGAUGUUCGAGUCUCUUGGGAUUUGGAUGACACAAAUCUAAUAGCAUCAACAUUGAAUAACUCAUUAUCUUGAAGCCAACAAAGAUCAAGGGGGAGGAGGGGAUCUUCUUUUUUCGUAAUCCAUUCAUCAUCCGAAUCAAUCUCCUCUACCAAAAUCGGAUCAACAUUUUGUUUCCUUUGUAGACUUCGCUCUCUCAAUUUAGUGUUGUAUCUUACAUACAUUAGAGAAUUCAACCUUUGAUGUUCAAGUCAUUUUUUUUUGUAUGGAUCUACAAAUAAUAAAAGAAACAAAUUUAUGUGUUAAAA